rnacentral:rRNA from 1 species
UGGAUUAGAGCUUGCUCUUAUGAAGUUAGGGGCGGACGGGUGAGUAACACGUGGGUAACCUGCCCAUAAGACUGGGAUAACUCCGGGAAACCGGGGCUAAUACCGGAUAACAUUUUGAACUGCAUGGUUCGAAAUUGAAAGGCGGCUUCGGCUGUCACUUAUGGAUGGACCCGCGUCGCAUUAGCUAGUUGGUGAGGUAACGGCUCACCAAGGCAACGAUGCGUAGCCGACCUGAGAGGGUGANCGGCCACACUUGGUACUGAGACACGGCCCAGACUCCUACGGGUAGGCAGCAGUAGGGAAAUCUUCCGCAAUGGACGAAAGUCUGACGGAGCAACGCCGCNGUGAGUGAUGAAGGCUUUCGGGUCGUAAAACUCUGUUGUUAGGGAAGAACAAGUGCUUAGUUGAAUAAGCUGNCCACCUUGACGGGUACCCUUAACCCAGAAAAGCCACCGGGCCUUAAACUUAACGUGG